CAGGACAAGGCUGUUUUACUCCUCCCUCCAUAACCCUCUUAGACUUAAUCCCGUCUUUAAUGCCGCUUGGAAGGGGGCUUUGAACGGCUGUGCAGCCUAACCGGCUCUGACCUCUCCGGCUGCUCUCUCAUGCCCAUUUGGAGAACUCCCGACUUUCAAAGAGAUAACAGAAGCCCGAGCCUCUCAGGGCAGAUGGAAGGAGAACGCCUCCGCUGUGGUCAGUCCCUGAAGACAAAGUGGAUGCUGCUGGCACACUGGAAUGACGGCACGGGUUUGCUGACGGUUUUGCAUGGGAGCAUCGGUUGGGUUUACACCUACAAGUGCUUGGCUAUGGCAGCGGGGCAUCCCAUGGAAAGGCCAAAAAGCAGCAGAGAGAUCCAGGGAAGGAGGAGAUGGCACACGCUGCAAGCCUGUUCUCUGUCAGCGACGCUGCUGGGAGCACGGACACCCAUAGUGGAGCCAGCAGCUGAGGACAGCUCACAGGAGAGGAAAAAAAUGGAGCCAAGGAUGGCACUGUCUCUUUAAAAAUAAAUAAAUAGAUAAAGACUAAAAAAAAAAAAAAGAAAGAAAAAAUGCAAUAAGUAUAUGCAAAUGUG
ensembl:lncRNA